rnacentral:rRNA from 1 species
UACGUAGGGGGCAAGCGUUGUCCGGAUUUAUUGGGCGUAAAGAGCGUGUAGGCGGCUUGGUAGGUCCGCUGUGAAAACUCGAGGCUCAACCUCGAGAUGUCGGCGGAAACCACUUGGCUAGAGUCCGGAAGAGGAGAGUGGAAUUCCUGGUGUAGCGGUGAAAUGCGCAGAUAUCAGGAAGAACACCCGUGGCGAAGGCGGCUCGCUGGGACGGUACUGACGCUAAGGCGCGAAAGCGUAGGGAGCGAACAGG